rnacentral:rRNA from 1 species
UACGUAGGGUGCGAGCGUUGUCCGGAAUUAUUGGGCGUAAAGAGCUCGUAGGCGGCCUGUCGCGUCGGAUGUGAAAGCCCGGGGCUUAACCCCGGGUCUGCAUUCGAUACGGGCAGGCUGGAGUGUGGUAGGGGAGAUCGGAAUUCCUGGUGUAGCGGUGAAAUGCGCAGAUAUCAGGAAGAACACCCGUGGCGAAGGCGGCUCUCUGGGACGGUACUGACGCUGAGACGCGAAAGCGUGGGGAGCGAACAGG